GACGAACGCUGGCGGCGGGCUUAACACAUGCAAGUCGAACGGAAAGGCCCUGCGUGUGUGGGGUGCUCGAGGGGCGAACGGGGGAGGAACACGUGAGUAACCUGCCCUUCACUUUGGGGUAAGUUCAGGAAACUGGGGCUAAGAUCGGAUAGGAUAUCCUCCUCGAGGGUGGGGGGUGGAAAGUUUCGGCUGGUGGGGAUGGACGCGCGGCUGAUCAGCUUGUUGGUUGGGGAGUGGCUGCCCAAGGCUUGGACGGGUAGGCCGCCUGAGAGGGUGAACGGCGACCUUGGGCCUGAGGUAGGGACCAGAGUGCAACGGGGGGCAGUGGUGGCGAAUCUUGCACAGUCGGCGCGCGCCUGAUGCAGCAACGUCGCGUGCGGGAUGCCGGCCUUCUGGUUGUAAACAGCUUUCGCUUGUGACGCAGCGUGACUGACGGUAACCGGUAAAGAAGCACCGGCUAACUUCGUG
rnacentral:rRNA from 1 species